rnacentral:rRNA from 1 species
GGGAACUUGAGUGCAGAAGAGGAGAGUGGAAUUCCACGUGUAGCGGUGAAAUGCGUAGAGAUGUGGAGGAACACCAGUGGCGAAGGCGACUCUCUGGCCUGUAACUGACGCUGAGGCGCGAAAGCGUGGGGAGCGAACAGGAUUAGAUACCCUGGUAGUCCACGCCGUAAACGAUGAGUGCUAAGUGUUAGAGGGUUUCCGCCCUUUAGUGCUGCAGCAAACGCA